CAAAAAAUAGUUUAAUUAAAACAUUAAUUUUGGGGAUUAAUUUUAUAAAAUUUAAUUUUUAUUUUUUUGA
rnacentral:tRNA from 1 species